rnacentral:rRNA from 1 species
GACGAACGCUGGCGGCGUGCUUAACACAUGCAAGUCGAACGGAAAGGCCCUGCUUUUGUGGGGUGCUCGAGUGGCGAACGGGUGAGUAACACGUGAGUAACCUGCCCUUGACUUUGGGAUAACUUCAGGAAACUGGGGCUAAUACCGGAUAGGAGCUCCUGCUGCAUGGUGGGGGUUGGAAAGUUUCGGCGGUUGGGGAUGGACUCGCGGCUUAUCAGCUUGUUGGUGGGGUAGUGGCUUACCAAGGCUUUGACGGGUAGCCGGCCUGAGAGGGUGACCGGCCACAUUGGGCCUGAGAUACGGCCCAGACUCCUACGGGAGGCAGCAGUGGGGAAUAUUGCACAAUGGGCGGAAGCCUGAUGCAGCAACGCCGCGUGCGGAUGACGGCCUUCGGGUUGUAAACCGCUUUCGCCUGUGACGAAGCGUGAGUGACGGUAAUGGGUAAAGAAGCACCGGCUAACUACGUA